UGCAGUCGAGCGGGGGAGGUUGCUUCGGUAACUGACCUAGCGGCGGACGGGUGAGUAAUGCUUAGGAAUCUGCCUAUUAGUGGGGGACAACAUUCCGAAAGGAAUGCUAAUACCGCAUACGCCCUACGGGGGAAAGCAGGGGAUCUUCGGACCUUGCGCUAAUAGAUGAGCCUAAGUCGGAUUAGCUAGUUGGUGGGGUAAAGGCCUACCAAGGCGACGAUCUGUAGCGGGUCUGAGAGGAUGAUCCGCCACACUGGGACUGAGACACGGCCCAGACUCCUACGGGAGGCAGCAGUGGGGAAUAUUGGACAAUGGGCGCAAGCCUGAUCCAGCCAUGCCGCGUGUGUGAAGAAGGCCUUUUGGUUGUAAAGCACUUUAAGCGAGGAGGAGGCUCCUUUAGUUAAUACCUAAAGAGAGUGGACGUUACUCGCAGAAUAAGCACCGGCUAACUCUGUGCCAGCAGCCGCGGUAAUACAGAGGGUGCGAGCGUUAAUCGGAUUUACUGGGCGUAAAGCGUGCGUAGGCGGCUUUUUAAGUCGGAUGUGAAAUCCCUGAGCUUAACUUAGGAAUUGCAUUCGAUACUGGAAAGCUAGAGUAUGGGAGAGGAUGGUAGAAUUCCAGGUGUAGCGGUGAAAUGCGUAGAGAUCUGGAGGAAUACCGAUGGCGAAGGCAG
rnacentral:rRNA from 1 species